rnacentral:rRNA from 1 species
GCGCAGCAGUCGCGAAAACUCCACAAUACGCGAAAGCGUGACGGGGCUACCCCGAGUGUCGUCCGCUGAGGACGACUUUUCCACGCUGUAAGGAGGCGUGGGAAUAAGGAGAGGGCAAGUCUGGUGUCAGCCGCCGCGGUAAUACCAGCUCUCCGAGUGGUAGGGACGAUUAUUGGGCUUAAAGCGUCCGUAGCCGGCUCAGCAAGUCUCCCGUUAAAUCCAACGAUUCAAUCGUUGGACUGCGGGAGAUACUGUUGAGCUAGGAGGCGGGAGAGGCCGACGGUAUUCCCGGAGUAGGGGUGAAAUCUUAUAAUUCCGGGAGGACCACCGGUGGCGAAGGCGUCCCACUGGAACGGCCCUGACGGUGAGGAACGAAACCUAGGGGAGCGAGCCGGAUUAGAUACCCGGGUAGUCC